UAUUAACCAAGAUGUGUGGUGACACGGGUAUGGCAUACGGAUGAUAUGUAGGAGUAUAGUUUACUGAGCGUGAUCACUUUUGGAGCACUCUACUGUCAAGAGUUGCUUUGAUGAGAUAUGGAUAUAUGUGUCCCUCAGACCUGAGGCUGUCUCGAUGACUUGCAAGCAACUCACUGUGCUUUGGUGCUGGAUUAUCUGAAUUUUUAAUUUGGUGAUGGA
rnacentral:lncRNA from 1 species